rnacentral:rRNA from 1 species
AUACGGAGGGUCCAAGCGUUAUCCGGAAUCAUUGGGUUUAAAGGGUCCGCAGGCGGUCAAUUAAGUCAGAGGUGAAAGCCCAUCGCUCAACGAUGGAACUGCCUUUGAUACUGGUUGACUUGAGUUAUACGGAAGUAGAUAGAAUAAGUAGUGUAGCGGUGAAAUGCAUGGAUAUUACUUAGAAUACCGAUUGCGAAGGCAGUCUACUACGUAUAUACUGACGCUGAGGGACGAAAGCGUGGGGAGCGAACAGGAUUAGAUACCCUAGUAGUCC